UACGUAGGGGGCAAGCGUUGUCCGGAAUCAUUGGGCGUAAAGAGCGCGCAGGCGGCUUGACAAGUCGGGUGUGAAAUCCCGGGGCUCAACCCCGGGACUGCAUUCGAUACUGUCAGGCUAGAGGUAGGUAGGGGAGAUCGGAAUUCCUGGUGUAGCGGUGGAAUGCGCAGAUAUCAGGAGGAACACCAAUGGCGAAGGCAGCUCGCUGGGACGGUACUGACGCUGAGGCGCGAAAGCGUGGGGAGCGAACAGG
rnacentral:rRNA from 1 species